rnacentral:misc_RNA from 1 species
CGGAGCGGCGAGCGGCCGCAAAAGUGAAAAGCGGCCCACCGACCGACCGACUGCCCCGCGUGACGUAACAGCGCAGCUACAGCUGUAGCAGCCGGCGCGGUAUUACGGCACCACAGUGCGCGUCUCUCGCUGGCCAGCGUGCAGCUGCCGCCGCCGCGGCGCGCCCAGAGCACCACGUCACGUUGCCAGGCAUCGGCUCGCGGCCACCUGCUGAUCGCACAGUGACGACCAUACGCGGCUCUUCGAGCUCUCUCAGGAGGAUGCUGGUGUCGGAGGCUGCGCCCGUGUGGUGGGCGCUGGUGCUGUAUGCGGCGCUCCUGCUGAUGCUGAGCCCGUGCGUGCUGCUCGUGCUGGUGUGCCUGCCCCACCUGCCACUGCUGCUGCUGCGGCGCGUCCUCUUCAUCCCCAUGGAGGCCGUCUGAGGUGGCGACACCCCAGUGACCAGCCAGCGAGCCAGUCAACUCCUACCUGCUGCUGCUGCCACGCCAAUGUCUGCUGGUGGUGGUUGUGUACAGCAGAAGAACAUCCUCUUCAUCACUGUGGAGGCUGUCUUGAGUGAUGAGGACCACCUGUCCAGCCAACCAACCACUGCAGCAAACCAACUCCCUGCUGCUUCAGAUGGUGGGCCCAUGUGUACAGCUGGUGCUCUUCUGCCAGCAGUAUCUGUUACUGUUACAGUUCCUCACCUUCAUCCCAAUAGUGCCAGUCUGAGAUGAUGGGACAUCAUUCCAACCAUCCAGCCAAUCUAGUCCUACCUGUUGCUGUUGUUCCUUGUGUUCAUAUGCUAGCCACAGUCAUUUAUGCUGAAAUACGUCCUGUUCAUUCCCAUAGUGGCUGCCUAGUAUGAUGAGAACCAACUGCAGAACUAGCCAACCAUUCAACACCUACCUGCUGCUUCUGAUUUUGAUCCCUAGUGUGCAGUUUGUGUUCGUCUGUCAGCCCCACCUGCUGCUAUAGAAGUGCACUCUCUUCAUCCCCGUGGAGCCCAUCUGAGAUGACGGGACAGCCAUGGGACUGACCAACCAGACAGUCAACUCCUACCUGCUGCUGUUGAUAAUAGUGCUCAAGUACCAGCCCCAGUUGUCACGGCUCCAGUUCAUCCACUUCAUUGUCAUUGUGGCUGUCAAGGAACGACGUGCCCAGUCAUUCAAAUACUUAGCACUAAUCUGUGCUUCUGAUGCUGAGCCUAUGUGUGGAGCUGCUGCUUGUCUGCCAGACCCACCUGACACUGCUGGAAUGCAUCCUCUUCAUCCCCACAGAGUCAGUCUGAGAUGAUGGGAGAGUGAUGGGACAAACCGCCAGAUGACCAACUUCUACCUGCUGCAGAUGAUACUGAUGCUCAUGUGCCAGCCACACCUGUUGCUACUGCAGGUCAUUCUCUGCAGACCCAAGGCAGCAGCCUAAGAUGAUAAGAAGCACUUGCUGAAGCAGCCAACCACUCAAUGCCUACCAGUUGUUUCUGAUGCUGAAACCAUGCGUGCUGCUGGAGAUCAUUUGACCGCCUCACUUGUUGUUGCUGAAGUACGUCCAAUUCAUCUCCAUGGAGCCUGUCUGAGAUCCACAGACCCAUCCAGCCAACAACAAAAUGCCUAACUCCUGCUUUUGCUGCCACUGAUUCUCCUGUGACAGCCUCACGUGUUGCCACUGCAGUACAUCCUCUUCAUACCCAUGACAGUUAAGAUGAUGAGAACUGUGCGCCCAGCCAACCGACCACUCAGACCCCGUGUAUGUGCUGAGCACUAGCAUGUAGCUGUCGCUCAUGUAGCUGCUCGAAUUUUUGCUGUUAAAGCACAUCCUCUUUGUCCCCUUGCAGCCAACCUCAGCUCCAACCUGCAGUGUGUGUGAAGUCGCUAAGUGAUUCUUCCAGGGACUAUGCCAUUCUCUACUGCUGUAGCAUGUCAGUUCUGUGUGUCUGAGUGGACCGCCAUAUAGUGUAGCUCUCAGUGCAGAACUCUAUGUUGUUACGGGCAGUGAGUGAGCCAAGCUAGCCCUGGGAGUUAUACCAGGUUCCCAUUAAUAACCAUUGUCGUUAUAAUAUUAUCAAUACACUGUCUGCUCAGAAAGUACAUAUUGUAGACUUGCUAUAAUUGUGUUCAUAAAUGAGCAAUAACUUUUGUAUAUUUAAUUAAAUUGUAUGUUUUUCAAUUUUACUAUCUGAAUUAUUA